UGGGGAAUAUUGGACAAUGGGCGAAAGCCUGAUCCAGCCAUGCCGCGUGUGUGAAGAAGGUCUUCGGAUUGUAAAGCACUUUAAGUUGGGAGGAAGGGCAGUAAGCGAAUACCUUGCUGUUUUGACGUUACCGACAGAAUAAGCACCGGCUAACUCUGUGCCAGCAGCCGCGGUAAUACAGAGGGUGCAAGCGUUAAUCGGAAUUACUGGGCGUAAAGCGCGCGUAGGUGGUCCGUUAAGUUGAAUGUGAAAGCCCCGGGCUCAACCUGGGAACUGCAUCCAAAACUGGCGAGCUAGAGUAGGGCAGAGGGUGGUGGAAUUUCCUGUGUAGCGGUGAAAUGCGUAGAUAUAGGAAGGAACACCAGUGGCGAAGGCGACCACCUGGGCUCAUACUGACACUGAGGUGCGAAAGCGUGGGGAGCAAACAGG
rnacentral:rRNA from 1 species